rnacentral:rRNA from 1 species
GGAAUAUUGGACAAUGGGCGCAAGCCUGAUCCAGCCAUGCCGCGUGCAGGAUGACGGUCCUAUGGAUUGUAAACUGCUUUUAUACGAGAAGAAACAACUCUACGUGUAGAGUCUUGACGGUAUCGUAAGAAUAAGGAUCGGCUAACUCCGUGCCAGCAGCCGCGGUAAUACGGAGGAUCCAAGCGUUAUCCGGAAUCAUUGGGUUUAAAGGGUCCGUAGGCGGUCAGAUAAGUCAGUGGUGAAAGCCCAUCGCUCAACGGUGGAACGGCCAUUGAUACUGUCUGACUUGAAUUAUUAGGAAGUAACUAGAAUAUGUAGUGUAGCGGUGAAAUGCUUAGAGAUUACAUGGAAUACCAAUUGCGAAGGCAGGUUACUACUAAUUGAUUGACGCUGAUGGACGAAAGCGUGGGUAGCGAACAGGAUUAGAUACCCCAG